UACGUAGGGGGCAAGCGUUAUCCGGAUUUACUGGGCGUAAAGGGAGCGUAGACGGCUCUGCAAGUCUGGAGUGAAAGCCCGGGGCUCAACCCCGGGACUGCUUUGGAAACUGUGGAGCUAGAGUGCAGGAGAGGUAAGUGGAAUUCCUAGUGUAGCGGUGAAAUGCGUAGAUAUUAGGAGGAACACCAGUGGCGAAGGCGGCUUACUGGACUGUAACUGACGUUGAGGCUCGAAAGCGUGGGGAGCAAACAGG
rnacentral:rRNA from 1 species